UACGUAGGGACCAAGCGUUGUUCGGAUUUACUGGGCGUAAAGGGAGCGUAGGCGGCAAUUCAAGUCAGUUGUGAAAUCUCCGAGCUUAACUCGGAACGGUCAACUGAUACUGCUUUGCUAGAGUACAGAAGGGGCAAUCGGAAUUCCCGGUGUAGCGGUGAAAUGCGCAGAGAUCGGGAGGAACACCGGUGGCGAAGGCGGAUCUCUGGGCCUUACCUGACGCUGAGGCGCGAAAGCUAGGGGAGCGAACAGG
rnacentral:rRNA from 1 species